AUGCCAAAGAGUGGAAGAAUGCUUCUUGUUCAAUCCGUGCUCUGUGCGAUUCCGCUGCAUGCGAUGAUGGCGCUCGACCUCCCACAGAAGACAAUCUCAACAAUGAACAGAAUAUGCCGCAGCUUCUUAUGGUGCGCUGAGUCAAGCUCGUCCGGCAGAAGCUGCGCAGUCGCUUGGGAGGCUGUGUGUGCCCCCAAAUGGGCGGGUGGAUUAGGCAUACCCAACCUAGGAUGGAUGAACAAAGCUGUGCAGGCAAGGUGGCCUUGGUUACAGAGGUCAGACACAUCGCGA
rnacentral:rRNA from 1 species